rnacentral:misc_RNA from 1 species
GGCAACAAGAGAAUUUGCAUACAGUGAUAUUGCGGCAGCUAUAAUCAAACCAACUAUACCAACAACCCAACCCAGAGGAACCAUAAUAGUCGCAGAAUAUCCCAGUACGUAGGCACUGUUGACACCGGUUGUGAGCACAAAACCCACUUGAAACCAUGAAUCACUGCUAAUCUGAUGAGCAGUCUCAGGAAUCUCAACACUCAACUGUUCCUCAUCAUGAACCUUUCUGGGCCAAGAAUCCUCUCUAUCCCCAUCCAUUAUUCUCCGCUGUUGGUGGUGGUAAUAGUUCUCCCUCCCUUCUCCUACUAAGAGCGAUACGCUCUCUUCCUCAAGAAUGACCUGCCUCACAGCCAGCUUAUUCCCCUCCUUAUAUAGCUCUCAGAAUCUACCACCCAACAGGGAAAAGAAUUAAACGCACAGCCAAUAAUCAAAGACUGUUAAAUGAAAUUGUAUAAUAUAAAGUAUUUAUGUAUAGAUUUUUUCGGGUGUCAGAGUGGUCAGUUUGUAAUGAUAUUCAGUCUCCCAUAGUUGGAAAACAUGUUGGAAUUUUGUGAUUU